GCAGCACUUUCUGGUCUCUCUUUUCUUUUUUUAGGUUUGUUGAUUCAGGUUUAGGCCAUGUGUAAGUGCUCUGCUAUUUUCUUUGGUUGCUCGCCUUCGUGAUUUAUUUCUAAUUUUUCUGGUUGUGCCAGGCAUGCCUGUUGUUUGCUUCAGGCAGGGUGAUGUGUUUCGUAUGGAGGUUGAUUAUGCAGGUCUGGCUCUGCAAUUGAAUCGGGACUCUGUGCUUUUAUGGUUGCAAAACACCUCCAGGUCUGUUUUGUUCAAAACUCAAUAGAGGCCCUUUUUUUAGCUUCUGCUUUUGAAAUUUCCAGUGAAACGCAAGAUGCUCCUCCACAAUAGAGGUCCGUCCAUGCACUGCCAUAAGUUUUCAUGACAGCUAUCUCUUUCUAGCUCUUUGAGGAAAACACCCACAAUAGCUGAAGAAGAUCCAUCAUGCAGUGUGCCAUCACCAUCAAGUUUGGACGAACCAGCCAUACCAGCUCAAUGUCAACGUCUCUUGCCUUCUGCGCACACGCGGCCAGUGUGUUUGAGAAUGAGGCAUGGUGAGGCUUCAAGAAAAAGAAGGGGCUCUUUAUCUUGGCUGGAUGAACACGGAUUUGGCGGCAUCUUGUGCAUGGAAGUGAUGCAUGCUGAUUUUAUUUUUCUCAUUUAGGAAAGCAGGCAACCAGCUGAGGUAGAAUCUCUAGGUUUUCCUUUUUUUUCUUUUCUUUUUUCUCUUGGCCGUUAGCUCUAAAUGGUUUGAAGAGGAAGGCAGUAGCCUCAGCUGUGUACUUUGCUUUUACAACUCUUUAAGUUUCCCAGUUCUUUGAAACCAGCAGCUCAAUGCUUUUAACUUUUUAGCUUUUCAUGGCCUUGGGGGAACCAAGUCUGGUUUGGAGCAUUAGGCAUUCUGAUUCCAAGGCUUCAUCCUCUGAGCCUCUGUCCAUACCAGUUUCCUAAUGAAAUGCUGGAAUUUUUUUCAUAUGAUUCUUGGUCACUGCCAUGAAAGACAAGACCUGCACAACGCUUACAGAAAUUGAAUUGUGAUUUGUUAAAUGUUACGGGACUUGUACAAGAACUGGCAUAGCAUGUAGGGAUUCCAUUGGAACAGUUUUGAAAGGUAGAGGUCUUGUUUGCAAGUGCAGGUCAAUAGCGCAAGGAGAAGCAUUAGCCAUCAAGAUUCCACCUCUAUUGCCUAUGUCCUAUUGUCGAAGAUAUACAGCACCAGCUUAAUAGUAUGCCUGAUGUUAUAGUUACAGUAGUAGCAUGUUGCAGAUUGGAUAGCUAAGGCUGUUAGAACCAGCCCCUUCCUUGAAAUUGUCCAGAUUGGGUUCAUAAGCAGCAAUUUGCUUCUACUGAAAUAUCUGUGGUCUGAAACGCUUAUUAUGUUGAGAAAAGAAAAAAAAAAAGACUUGCCGUCAGUCAGUUUACAGACAUGAGGCCUGCUUUGAAUGAAAUAUGGGCUUUACAGCAAAAGCUAUUAAUUUGACAGUUCGAAGACAAGCGCUUAUUGCAAGGAGGAAGGACAGUGGUGGCUGAACUAAAAUGUACGGAAUGCAGAUACAGAACGUACCAAACUAGCUUCCAGGAAUUGUAACUCAAGUUUGGAACAUCUUUUUACCAUGUUCAAAUGCUUUUAAUGAUGUUAACAAAAAAGCUGUCACAUAUCCGAUACUUGCUGUUAUAUUUAAUGAUAAAUUGACCUAUAUAGAGCUGGAGGUCGUUUCCCUCAAUUCUAAAAAUCAA